rnacentral:rRNA from 1 species
UACGGAGGAUGCAAGCGUUAUCCGGAAUGAUUGGGCGUAAAGCGUCCGCAGGUGGCUGUGUAAGUCUGCUGUCAAAAGAGCGAAGCUCAACUUCGUAAAGGCAGUGGAAACUACACGGCUAGAGUGCGUUCGGGGCAGAGGGAAUUCCUGGUGUAGCGGUGAAAUGCGUAGAGAUCAGGAAGAACACCGGUGGCGAAGGCGCUCUGCUAGGCCGCAACUGACACUGAGGGACGAAAGCUAGGGGAGCGAAUGGG